rnacentral:rRNA from 1 species
AUUGAACGCUGGCGGCAUGCCUUACACAUGCAAGUCGAACGGCAUCGCGGGAAAGCUUGCUUUCCUGGCGGCGAGUGGCGAACGGGUGAGUAACACAUCGGAACGUACCGGCUAGUGGGGGAUAACCCGUCGAAAGACGGGCUAAUACCGCAUACGCUCUUCGGAGGAAAGCAGGGGACCUUUGGGCCUUGCGCUAGCCGAGCGGCCGAUGUCCGAUUAGCUAGUUGGUGGGGUAAAGGCCUACCAAGGCGACGAUCGGUAGCGGGUCUGAGGGGACGAUCCGCCACACUGGGACUGAGACACGGCCCAGACUCCUACGGGAGGCAGCAGUGGGGAAUCUUGGACAAUGGGGGCAACCCUGAUCCAGCAAUGCCGCGUGGGUGAAGAAGGCCUUCGGGUUGUAAAGCCCUUUCGGCAGGGAAGAAAUCGGCGGGGCGAAUAACCCUGCUGGAUGACGGUACCUGCAGAAGAAGCACCGGCUAACUACGUG